UACGAAGGGGCUAGCGUUGCUCGGAAUCACUGGGCGUAAAGCGCACGUAGGCGGAUUGCUAAGUCAGGGGUGAAAUCCUGGAGCUCAACUCCAGAACUGCCUUUGAUACUGGCGAUCUCGAGUCCGGGAGAGGUGAGUGGAACUGCGAGUGUAGAGGUGAAAUUCGUAGAUAUUCGCAAGAACACCAGUGGCGAAGGCGGCUCACUGGCCCGGUACUGACGCUGAGGUGACGAAAGCGUGGGGAGCAAACAGGG
rnacentral:rRNA from 1 species